rnacentral:lncRNA from 1 species
GUGGGAGUCCCCGGGUGGGGGCAGGAUUGGGACUGCAGCAGCCUGGCACGGCUCUGGGUGCAGAGUUGUGCCUGAGUUGGGUUACGCUGUAGCAGGGGUUCGGUGGUGGGUAGCUGCAGAGCCUGGGGACACACUGGGGUCUGCAGCCCCAGGACCCGCUGUCGGGGGCUGUGUCCCAGCUCAGCUUGCCACAAGUUUCUGUCUCCCCGGCCCCAAUACGUCCUCGCGCCCAUGAGUGCUGCGGUGGGAGCGUUGGGAGCCAGGCAACGUGUGCCAAAGGCGGUUCAGAAGCGCUGCGUGGUGGAGCUCAGCAGUGUGUCUGCGGCUGUUCGCGGAGGUCCUGGCAGCAGAACUUUACCAAAUGCUCACGAGGGCACAGAGGGGCUCACAGUUCUUGACUUUCUUGCCUUUGGAGACAUUUCUCCUGAGAACAUUUUUUUCCGAGUGAUUCCAGCUUCCAGACAUUUGCCAUGAUAAGGGUUUUGAUCCUUUCCCAUAUUUGCCCUGAGUCAUGAGUGGAUAUGUGUGAUGCCUGCAAGUAAAACUGGAGAGCUGGCCCCGCUCAGCAUGGCAUGUGCUGCGAAGCCUGGCUGCUUUCGUCAUGGGCGGACAAAGGGAGAAAUCCUCCAACAGCCAACUUGGACAAGACAAAGAGAGUGGAGAAAGAGAAAUCUGAUCAUACAAGAGAAUUGCAAGAUCUGUGUGAGAAUUUGUUACAACCUAGGAGAUCUAGGUAAUUAAAUCCAUAGGAAAUGGGAGC